rnacentral:rRNA from 1 species
AUUAAACGCUGGCGGCAUGCCUUACACAUGCAAGUCGAACGGCAGCACGGGGGCAACCCUGGUGGCGAGUGGCGAACGGGUGAGUAAAGCAUCGGAACGUGCCCUGGAGUGGGGGAUAACGUAGCGAAAGUUACGCUAAUACCGCAUAUUCUGUGAGCAGGAAAGCAGGGGAUCGCAAGACCUUGCGCUCUGGGAGCGGCCGAUGUCGGAUUAGCUAGUUGGUGGGGUAAAGCCUACCAAGGCGACGAUCCGUAGCGGGUCUGAGAGGAUGAUCCGCCACACUGGGACUGAGACACGGCCCAGACUCCUACGGGAGGCAGCAGUGGGGAAUUUUGGACAAUGGGCGAAAGCCUGAUCCAGCCAUGCCGCGUGAGUGAAGAAGGCCUCGG